rnacentral:rRNA from 1 species
GACGUAGGUGGCGAACGUUAUUCGGAAUCACUGGGCUUAAAGAGUCCGUAGGCGGCAUGUUAGGUGAGGUGUGAAAUCCCCCGGCUCAACCGAGGAAUUGCGCUUCAAACCGGCGUGCUUGAGGAAGAUAGAGGUGGGCGGAACUGAUGGUGGAGCGGUGAAAUGCGUUGAUAUCAUCAGGAACACCGGAGGCGAAGGCGGCCCACUGGGUCUUUUCUGACGCUGAGGGACGAAAGCUAGGGGAGCGAACGGG